AGAUGGGAAGAAAUAAUCACCUUAACUGUUUAAAUCGUUCCCGGGCAAAAGGCGCUUCGUAGAGCGUUUUACGAUGCCCGGGGAGGUGGCCGGGCGCUUUGAUGUCUCCUGAUAUCUGCGACCUAAUGUCCUGUCCAGGUGGCCCUGCUGCCCUGUGAAAUGUGCCUCUUUUACGAAAGUUUCUGCAGCAGGAAACUUAACUACUUAAAGCCUUAAAUGGAGCUUCCACUGGGUCCCGCCCACCCCCGCCCCGGAAGUGACAUCUACAGACAGCUUUCCAGCCGCCGUCCGGGCGACGAGCUCGCCUGGCACCGGCUUUCCGGCCUGUGCUCCUCGUCGCCAGUCGUGCGCUCGGACCCGCUCCCUCAGGACACUGUCGCGUCGUUUCUCUGGUCCCGCAGCGCUGGGAGGGAAGGUGAGCCCCGACACCUGCCCGGGGUGCGCCACGCCCAGGACAGGACGAGGACAACGCGGCGCGUCCCCAAGCUGGGAGCAAGCGCUGCCAGGUCACCUCAGGAUCCAGGACAAACAGGAAGACGGAGCAGCAAAUCUCAACCGUGACCCCACGCGAGUAAAAAUGUCAGUGCUCACUGAGCCUCUGCGAUUACCUACGACCCUGUGGGAUCAAGAUCUAUUAUUCAGAAUAACAUGGAAGCAGGGAAAAUGGGAAAAACUCUGAGUUCCACUCCUCAUUUAUACCUGUCCAUUUUGAACAUUUUAGCUUCAGUCGUCUGAAAUUGCAACACCAAUGUAAAUUUAAUGCUUUUCCUCAAGAUCCCCAAGAUCCAUCACCUGCACACGGGGCUACAUUCACUGCUAAUUAAUGUCUGUCAUUACCAAGUAAAAAUAAGCUAAAAUGCAUACAAUUUCAUACCUUAGACUCUGCAUUAUGCUUAGGUUUUCUGUUUCUAUUUUGAUUUUUUACAUUCUUAAAUAUAUUUUAUUCAUUUGGGAUGGUAGAACAAGAAUUGGCUAAAUUACUACCACAUUUCUACUGGAAUUUCAUAAUUCAUAAAUCACUGGAAAAAUCACCAAAUGUGAGCUGUAGUAAUCAACACAUAUAUUUAAUGGCAUGAUGAAAGUUCUCAUAUUUUGGUGACACAAACUGAUCCACACACACAUAUAUACACACACAAAUGUGACUCGCAGACACACACACACACACACACAGAGUAAUCUCAAAAAUUUUAAUUUUCCAAGGGUCAAAAGAAUAGACGUCACAUGUUGCUGACUUAGCACAUGAGUUCACAGUGGUGAACGCCGUGGGCAAAUCACAUUUUGAUUUUUGUGUAAUUUUGAUGCAAAGAAAUUCUAAGUGAUCUUUGCCAUAAGAUGUAUUUUUCAAACAACCGUAUGAGUGUGGCUCUUGAUGGGGCACCCUAUUUUUGACAACGAGUAGAUUUCCUUGAGAUAAAAUGUCACCUGAAGAAGGAGGAGCAAAGAAUCGCAAAUCGGAGGCAGCGUUGCUACAAGGCUGGAGACAUGGUAAUUAAUUCAGAGUUUGUCUUCUCUCUAUUGUGUAUUUUUAAAACAUACACCUUUGGUACCUGUUUCUUUCUAUCCUUAUUAUUCAAAAAUAAUGUCAGUAUCAGAAGGAUGACUUGUUUUCAUCUAAUACUUGUACCAUUUUAAAAUUAAAUCUUUAGAAAGAGAACAUCUUUGAAUCUUUGUAGUAAUAACUAACCUAUGGAGGAAAUUAAGUUAAGAACUUGUCAAAAAAAAAAAAAUUGGAGAAUUUACACGCCCAGUUUUA